GGGGGCGUCACGGUUUCGACGGAGAUGCUUGCGGCCAAGAGGCAUGCCGGGGUGCACUCACCCGUAAUCGAGGGCAAAAUGAUAAUUGCCAAUCAACAGAUGGCAUACGCAGCUUAAUUAGUUAAGUUGCCGUCUUCCGCAGCUUCGCCCGUGGGCUGCGAGCGGACGUCACACAGCGGGCUGCUCUUCCCGGCUACGUCUGGGCCGGGAGGCUAAGAUCUCAGGCUAGCGGCAACCGUUUCUUGUCCGUUCUGAGCGGCGGUCGCGAACGUCUUUGGGUAAUGCCAAGGGCAUGAACGCGAAUAAGCAUGUAGUCUCUUGACCAGUAACAUUUUCGGACGCGGGUUCGACUCCCGUCGCCUCCACCA
rnacentral:tmRNA from 1 species